rnacentral:tRNA from 1 species
GCCGAAGUGGCGGAAUUGGCAGACGCGCACGCUUCAGGGGCGUGUUCUCGCAAGAGAGUGUGGGUUCAACUCCCUCCUUCGGCACAA